rnacentral:tRNA from 1 species
AAAACAGAAGUGUUACACUUUCAGUUUCGGCCUGAAAACAGGCUAUAAGCCCUGUUUUA